GGGGUUGUGGCUCAAUGGUAGAGUGCUUACCUAGCACACAUGAGGCAUUGGGUUCGAUCCCCAGCACCACCU
rfam:Ictidomys tridecemlineatus contig008031, whole genome shotgun sequence.